GACGAACGCUGGCGGCGUGCUUAACACAUGCAAGUCGAACGGAAAGGCCCUGCUUUUGUGGGGUGCUCGAGUGGCGAACGGGUGAGUAACACGUGAGUAACCUGCCCUUGACUUUGGGAUAACUUCAGGAAACUGGGGCUAAUACAGGAUAGGAGCUCCUGCUGCAUGGUGGGGGUUGGAAAGUUUCGGCGGUUGGGGAUGGACUCGCGGCUUAUCAGCUUGUUGGUGGGGUAGUGGCUUACCAAGGCUUUGACGGGUAGCCGGACUGAGAGGGUGACCGGCCACAUUGGGACUGAGGUGCGGCCCAGACUCCUACGGGAGGCAGCAGUGGGGAAUAUUGCACAAUGGGCGGAAGCCUGAUGCAGCAACGCCGCGUGCGGGAUGACGGCCUUCGGGUUGUAAACCGCUUUCGCCUGUGACGAAGCGUGAGUGACGGUAAUGGGUAAAGAAGCACCGGCUAACUACGUG
rnacentral:rRNA from 1 species